UCUGAUGUAAUGGGGCAAGUCUGUGUAGAAGGCUCAGGUGGCCCCAGCCUGGACCUCCAGGUCACUUGGAAGCCCAGCAGUGCCCAGCCUAGGUGUUUGGUUUGAGGCAUUGUGUUGAGUUGAGUGGGACCCAGAGGAGGGCAGCCCUUAGAUACCAAGACCAGCUUCAAGAUUAAUCCCUCAUGCUUUUCCAUCGACUGCCACCAGGGGCUUCUGGGGUCUUAUUCUCUGGGGGUCUCCAGCUCCUGGACUCCAGUAGGGCAGGUAACUGUGUGGCUUUGGGUAAGCCACUUCUCUUCUCUGAGCUUCAGUUUCCUCAUCCGUCAAAGGCAGUGGCUGACACAAGCAUGGCCCACAGAUGCUCUGUACCACGAGGUCAGGUGAGAUUUAAAUACGUGAAUGACAUCUGUCCCCUGCCAGCACUUGAGAGGCACAUCUGGGGCUGGGGAUGGCUGGGACAAAGUGCUCCCAGGGUCUCUGAUGGCCACCCAGCCUGGUCGUGAAUCCUGACAACAUCAAGUAUUGACCCUCUCCUGAUGGUUCCAGCCAGUGGCCAGGCACGCUGCUCCUACCAAGGGCCUGGUGAUGGGCAUGGGGCCCAGGGACAGGAGCCCUGAGAAGCACAUGGAUAUGGGUGUAGCAGGGACUGAUGCCUCAGGGUGGGCUCUAUUCCCAGCUUUAACCCUCCAAGAAACAUUGUGAGCGGGUUACAAUAAAAAUAAUCAACAUUUACUAAGCACUAGGUACCGGAUGUUGUCUUUAUAUGCAUUACCUCACUUGUUUUAUAACAGUUCUAUGGAAUAGGUAAUACCAUUAUUUCCACUUUAUAGGUGAUGUAUGUUCAUCACAGAGAGGUCCAGUAACUGACCUAAGGUCACACAGCAGUAAGUGGCAGAGCUGAGAUUUGAACCCAGGCAGUCUAGCUCCUAAGCAUGAUGCCGUGCUGCUUCUAGCUGCUAUAUGGGGAAACUGAGGCUCAGAGUACUUAAGUGACAUAUCCAGGGUCACCAGCUGGUAAGUGGAGCCAAGACUGGCACUGAAGCUGUCCUGACUGCACAGCCCAUAUCCAGAGGCUGGGAUCCCAGGGCUGGGAGUCAGGCUGGGGAGCCUGGGCAGCACCCAGCCCCCAUCUCCUGGAGUGUAUGUUGGGAGAGUGGUGGGGAGACUCAGGUUCCCCUGCCCACCCCAACUAACUGGUGCCCCUCCUGCAGGGGGCGUGUGCAUCGCCCAGUCGGUGAAGAUACCACGGGAGCCCAAGGCAGGCGAGUUCGACAAGAUCAUCCGCCGCCUCCUGGAGACUUCGAACGCCAGGGCAGUCAUCAUCUUUGCCAACGAGGAUGACAUCAGGCGUGUGCUGGAGGCAGCACGAAGGGCCAACCAGACAGGCCAUUUCUUCUGGAUGGGCUCUGACAGCUGGGGCUCCAAGAUUGCACCUGUGCUGCACCUGGAGGAGGUGGCUGAGGGUGCUGUCACGAUCCUCCCCAAGAGGAUGUCCGUACGAGGCUUCGACCGCUACUUCUCCAGCCGCACGCUGGACAACAACCGGCGCAACAUCUGGUUUGCCGAGUUCUGGGAGGACAACUUCCACUGCAAGCUGAGCCGCCACGCCCUCAAGAAGGGCAGCCACGUCAAGAAGUGCACCAACCGUGAGCGAAUUGGGCAGGAUUCAGCUUAUGAGCAGGAGGGGAAGGUGCAGUUUGUGAUCGAUGCCGUGUACGCCAUGGGCCACGCGCUGCACGCCAUGCACCGUGACCUGUGUCCCGGCCGCGUGGGGCUCUGCCCGCGCAUGGACCCUGUAGAUGGCACCCAGCUGCUUAAGUACAUCCGAAACGUCAACUUCUCAGGCAUCGCAGGGAACCCUGUGACCUUCAAUGAGAAUGGAGAUGCGCCUGGGCGCUAUGACAUCUACCAAUACCAGCUGCGCAACGACUCUGCCGAGUACAAGGUCAUUGGCUCCUGGACUGACCACCUGCACCUUAGAAUAGAGCGGAUGCACUGGCCGGGGAGCGGGCAGCAGCUGCCCCGCUCCAUCUGCAGCCUGCCCUGCCAACCGGGUGAGCGGAAGAAGACAGUGAAGGGCAUGCCUUGCUGCUGGCACUGCGAGCCUUGCACAGGGUACCAGUACCAGGUGGACCGCUACACCUGUAAGACGUGUCCCUAUGACAUGCGGCCCACAGAGAACCGCACGGGCUGCCGGCCCAUCCCCAUCAUCAAGCUUGAGUGGGGCUCGCCCUGGGCCGUGCUGCCCCUCUUCCUGGCCGUGGUGGGCAUCGCUGCCACGUUGUUCGUGGUGAUCACCUUUGUGCGCUACAACGACACGCCCAUCGUCAAGGCCUCGGGCCGUGAACUGAGCUAUGUGCUGCUGGCGGGCAUCUUCCUGUGCUAUGCCACCACCUUCCUCAUGAUCGCUGAGCCCGACCUUGGCACCUGCUCGCUGCGCCGAAUCUUCCUGGGACUAGGGAUGAGCAUCAGCUAUGCAGCCCUGCUCACCAAGACCAACCGCAUCUACCGCAUCUUCGAGCAGGGCAAGCGCUCGGUCAGUGCCCCACGCUUCAUCAGCCCCGCCUCACAGCUGGCCAUCACCUUCAGCCUCAUCUCGCUGCAGCUGCUGGGCAUCUGUGUGUGGUUUGUGGUGGACCCCUCCCACUCGGUGGUGGACUUCCAGGACCAGCGGACACUCGACCCCCGCUUCGCCAGGGGUGUGCUCAAGUGUGACAUCUCGGACCUGUCGCUCAUCUGCCUGCUGGGCUACAGCAUGCUGCUCAUGGUCACGUGCACCGUGUAUGCCAUCAAGACACGCGGCGUGCCCGAGACCUUCAACGAGGCCAAGCCCAUUGGCUUCACCAUGUACACCACUUGCAUCGUCUGGCUGGCCUUCAUCCCCAUCUUCUUUGGCACCUCGCAGUCGGCCGACAAGCUGUACAUCCAGACUACGACGCUGACGGUCUCGGUGAGUCUGAGCGCCUCAGUGUCCCUGGGAAUGCUCUACAUGCCCAAAGUCUACAUCAUCCUCUUCCACCCGGAGCAGAACGUGCCCAAGCGCAAGCGCAGCCUCAAAGCCGUCGUUACGGCGGCCACCAUGUCCAACAAGUUCACGCAGAAGGGCAACUUCCGGCCCAACGGAGAGGCCAAGUCUGAGCUCUGCGAGAACCUUGAGGCCCCAGCGCUGGCCACCAAACAGACUUACGUCACUUACACCAACCAUGCAAUCUAGCGAGUCCAUGGAGCUGAGCAGCAGGAGGAGGAGCCGUGACCCUGUGGAAGGUGCGUCGGGCCAGGGCCACACCCAAGGGCCCAGCUGAUGUCUUGCCUGCCCGUGGGCACCCACGGACGUGGCUUGGUGCUGAGGAUAGCAGAGCCCCCAGCCGUCACUGCUGGCAGCCUGGGCAAACCGGGUGAGCAACAGGAGGACGAGGGGCCGGGGCGGUGCCAGGCUACCACAAGAACCUGCGUCUUGGACCAUUGCCCCUCCCGGCCCCAAACCACAGGGGCUCAGGUCGUGUGGGCCCCAGUGCUAGAUCUCUCCCUCCCUUCGUCUCUGUCUGUGCUGUUGGCGACCCCUCUGUCUGUCUCCAGCCCUGUCUUUCUGUUCUCUUAUCUCUUUGUUUCACCUUUUCCCUCUCUGGCGUCCCCGGCUGCUUGUACUCUCGGCCUUUUCUGUGUCUCCUUUCUGGCUCUUGCCUCCGCCUCUCUCUCUCAUCCUCUUUGUCCUCAGCUCCUCCUGCUUUCUUGGGUCCCACCUGUGUCACUUUUCUGCCGUUUUCUUUCCUGUUCUCCUCUGCUUCAUUCUCGUCCAGCCAUUGCUCCCCUCUCCCUGCCACCCUUCCCCAAUUCACCAAACCUUACAUGUUGC
rnacentral:sRNA from 1 species